GCUGGGCACGGUGGUGGGUGCCCGUAGUCCCAGCUACUGGGGAGUCUGAGGUGAGAGAAUUGCUUGAGCCAGGAGUUCUAGGCUGUAGUGUGCUAUGCUGAUUGGGUGUCCACAAUAAGUUCAGCAUCGAUAUGGUGACCUCCCAGGAAUGGGAGACCACCAGGUUGCCUAAGGACGGGUGAACCGCCCCAGGUUGGAAACAGAGCAGGUCAAAACUCCUGUGCUGAUUAGCGUGGGAUCGUGCCUGUGAAUAGCCACUGCAUUCCAGCCUGGGCAACAUAGCGAGACCCCAUCUCU
rnacentral:SRP_RNA from 1 species